ACAUUUUAUUUUGCGCAUCGGGUCGAACCGUCCAACUGCCCACAGAACACCAUAGCCGUGGUGGAACCGGCAGAUUCGUUUGCUGCCGGUAUUUUUAACCGCAAAUCCGAACCAGAAUACAACCAUUCUUCGAACCAACAGCCACAGGACCCCGGGAGGUACAACGGCAGCCUGCAGUUGGAUCAGAAUAGUUGUUCGUGUGCGAAAGUCGAAUCGCAGAAGAAACUUUGUUUCAACUUAGCACAUCAAUAUCUACGAGUUAAACCCAACCCCCGGAUUCCCAAGAUGAGACUACCGGUAACCGAAACCCUGAACGGAGGGAACCCUUAGCUGCGUGGACUUCCUAAAGAUUACCAAAAAGGAAAAAAAAACUUCUCGGAUUUAUUUGUCAUACAGCAGGCUCGUGUCCAUUGGCUAUAAAGGUUUCAACAUCAAGAGCCAAUGAUGCUAAUUCCGACAACAAAUCGGGUCUGGGCACCAGAAUUUCAUGUGGAUCCAUGUUGGUCAACGAGAUGAAGGCCUUAUCCAUCUACAUGUCGAUUAUUUCAAAUCAUUAAAGCAUUGUAACAAUUACCCUUGCGUCUAAUGGGCCGGAAAUACGAAGAUCAAUUUUUGGCUGAAAUGGAUCCGAAACUUCUCAAAUCAGUUCGAAAAAUUUCCAGACUCCCCAAUGAGAAUGUACCGGUAAACAUCUUGAAACUAACAAUAUUUACUUACAUUUUACAUAAUUUAUUUACAAUUGUUAUACCUCGUUUUCUUUUGAGCUAUUUAACACAUAAAUCAUGGUAAAACUUCUCUAUAAGCCAUUCUGAUAUACAGUACAGCUCAAAAUAUAAAUAAAAUAUAAAA